AUGCUAAUACAAGGAGCUUUUCGAUGCAAGUCUGUAGGAGGCAUGAGAGACGCUGUCGGAGAGAGCCAGGGCCUGGAGACAUGCAGCCAGACAGAACAGGAAACAGCAGCAGGUGAAAGAGCUUUUGUGUGCCUAAAAUCAUCUCAAUUUCAGAGUAGCUGGGGGACAAUUCUUUUGAAAGAGCAUAAAAACAAGGAAAGACAUCAAAUGUACGAUGCCAGUGUGGGCCAAUUGAUCCUGGGGUUCUGUUCAGAGGCCCCCCGCCCUCACUGAGCUGCUUUAUUUAGUGCUACUGCCGAGUCUGUGUGUUUGCGCUUGAGUAUCACAGGAAACUAAUGAAGUGCGGUGGGAGGCAGCCACACACACUGUGGCAUGAUAAAGCCAGGCAUGGACCACCGAUCUCCUGACUGCCAGAGAGCUGCUUGUCAUUUUGCACAAACCCCUUCUGGAAUAUAUUUGCCAUAUUCUUACUGCUCAGACAGCAACAUAAACUUCCUACAGAUUCUGAAGAAGUCACUGUACAUAUUGAGACACUGAAUGUUUUUAUACAAGUUAAUCAAUAAUGUGGGGUUAGGUUAAUAUGUUGUGUAUAUGAUAUUAUUUUAUAGGAAUGGUUCACCGAAAAACGAAAAUUUGCCAGAAAUGUACAAACCCUCAGGCCAUCCAAGAUGUAGAUGAGUUUUUUCUUCUUCAGAAAAGAUUUGGACGAAUUUAGCAUUACAUCACUUGCACACUAAUGGUCUGAAGUAAAUGGGUGCUAAAAAAAAUCAUCACAGUGAUCCAAAACACAACUGCAAUCCCUCAAUUAACUUCCUGAAAAGUGGAAAGCUGUAUGUUUUUAAUUAUUUUUUACUUCAAAAUGCUGCUUCCGGCUAAAAUGCGGGCUAUUUGGGCUAUUUUGCCUUUAUAACUUGCCUUCUUUCAGAUUAGUGGAAAGAAAACAUCCAGAUCUGUAGAUUUCAAUUACAAUACAUAUCUUUAAAGGCCAUUUUCACAAAAUAAUUUUUUUCUCAUGCACUAGGCCAGAAAUCUCCACUUCAGCAGUACAAAAAAUAUACCAAAUUUCAAGUUUUAUAUAUAUUCUGUAAGUUUGUAAAGAGGGGUUUGUUAAUAUAUUAUUUGUGUGAAAUGUAUUUAACAUUUUAUGAUGUGAAUUAAACAUUUAAAGAAAUUUCAGUCUUCCUUGUAAUUAUUUGUGAAAUUUACUAGCAAUCACUAAGGGAAAAUUGUUUUGAAGUAAAUCCUACACCAGUGUAUGAUCUUCUGGGACAGAAGUUGGAAGAGAACAUCUUGUGCAACAGUAGCAGCUCUGUGGCCUAAAACUGAAACAACGGAUCUGCAGUAUUAAUAGAAACCUUCACAGUGGUCAUCUCAAAGCCUUAAAGCCUUAAGUAACAGUAUUGGAAAACUGAAAAAGGUUAUUUGAGGGCAGUAGGUUGUGUGCUUAGUGUAGCAAUGAUCAAAGACCAUGUAGCAGUGAUUCCAGUGGCUGAAACUAUAUUACGAAGCAAAGAGGCCAGAGCUGUAGCUCCGGGUCAGCUCUUGAUGGAUACUGAUUAGUGUGAGUGUAAACACUUCCACAAUCCUGAUGUGAUCCCUUUGUAUCAAAACUAAGAUUGAAUGAUUAUCUCCAAUUUUUCGCCACUCCUUUGAUCCUAAAUUGUGCCACCUUUGAUUCAUCUGUCCGAUUAUUGGACAUUAUCGUAUCUUGUCGGUCAUGGUUCCUUUGAAAUGUCUUGGUUUCAUCUUUAGAACUCUAACUCACAUGCUUUUUGAAGCUGGUAGCACAUUCUGGUGGCUGGUAGGCCGUUGUGAAAAACUAGCUUGCUGCUGGAGGUAGUUUUAGUCCGGCCAGCAGGGGGUGCUCAUUCGCUGACUUGUAUGGGUGCAAAAGUCUUAGUAUAACGAAUCAGAUGACGCAAACUUUAGACUGUGAACAUUCUGAUAAAGCGUUAGACGGGCACCUGUAAAAAGGAGCGUCGUUCAGAUGAGGCACUAAACUGGCCUCCUGACAUUCUGUUGUCAUUAAUUCACCACCUAAAAUAUGAAUUUGACCUAAUUGUUUAGGCUGGUAGCGCAUCCUGGUGGCUUAUCAGGAUGCACUACCCCUCUAUUAGAGUAGCUUCAUUAAGGCGCAGACUACGAAUGCAGCUGUUGCAUGCAGUAGGCAGUAUCUGGUUCCUCACUAAAGCAAAGCAGGCCUGAGCCUGGUCGGUACACUAGUGGGAGACCAUUUGUGAAAAUGUAGCUUGCUGCUGCAGAUAGUUUCAGUCCAGCCAGCAAGGGUGAUCAUUCCUUGGCUUAAAUGGGUGCAAAAGUCCUAGUGUAAUGACGCAAACUUUAGACUGUGAACAGGAGGCAUCCUUCAGAUGAGGCAUUAAACUGGCCUCCUGACCUUCUGUUGUCAUGAAUUCCCCACCUCAAUUUGGUAUUUGACUUUGUUUUCUUUUUGAAGCUGGUAGCACAUUCUGAUGGCUGGUAGGCCAUUGUGAACAACUAGCUUGCUGCUGGAGCUAGUUUUAGUCCGGCCAGCAGGGGGUGCUCAUUCCCUGACUUGUAUGGGUGCAAAAGUCUUAGUAUAACGAAACAGACUUCAGAAUGUAAGAAGAAGCAACCUUUUGAUACAAGGAUGCGCUGUUUUCUUUAAAAUCAAAGCUAAAUACACGUAGAAACAGUGCAUCCUUGUGGCGCGGCUGAUACAGAAGAGCAUACGCAGCAUACGGUGAUAUGGAGAGACACAGAGGAGACUGCUGACAAAGGAAUUGUUGAAUAAAGUCGUUAUUUUUGUUUUCUUCGCUUACA
ensembl:lncRNA